rnacentral:rRNA from 1 species
ACGGGUGAGUAACGCGUGGGAAUCUACCCUAGANCGGGGGACAACCCGGGAAACCCGGGGCUAAUACCGCAUACGUCCUACGGGAGAAAGAGGGCCUCUGCUUGCACGCUCUCACUCCACGGAUGAGCCCACGUCCGAUUAGCUAGUUGGUAGGGUAAAGGCCUACCAAGGCCACGAUCGGUAGCUGGUCUGAGAGGAUGAUCAGCCACACUGGGACUGAGACACGGCCCAGACUCCUACGGGAGGCAGCAGUGGGGAAGUAUUGGACAAUGGGCGCAAACCUGAUCCAGCAAUGCCGCGUGUGUGAAGAAGGCCUGCGGGUUGUAAAGCACUUUCAGUGGGGAAGAACAGAUUCGGGUCAAUACCCCGGAGCCCUGACGUUACCCACAGAAGAAGCACCGGCUAACUCCGUG